CCUACGGGAGGCAGCAGUAGGGAAUUUUCCGCAAUGGGCGAAAGCCUGACGGAGCAAUACCGCGUGAGGGAUGACUGCCUAUGGGUUGUAAACCUCUUUUUUCAGGGAGGAAUAAAUGACGUGUACCUGAAGAAUAAGCAUCGGCUAACUCCGUGCCAGCAGCCGCGGUAAGACGGAGGAUGCAAGUGUUAUCCGGAAUCACUGGGCGUAAAGCGUCUGUAGGUGGCUCAACAAGUCAACUGUUAAAUCUUGAAGCUCAACUUCAAAAUCGCAGUCGAAACUAUUGAACUAGAGUAUAGUAGAGGUAAAGGGAAUUUCCAGUGGAGCGGUGAAAUGCGUAGAGAUUGGAAAGAACACCAAUGGCGAAGGCACUUUACUGGGCUAUUACUGACACUCAGAGACGAAAGCUAGGGUAGCAAAUGGGAUUAGAUACCCCAGUAGUCCUAGCCGUAAACAAUGGAUACUAGGUGUUGAACAGAUACGACCUCGUGCAGUACUAACGACUAACGUACGUUAAGUACUCCGCCGUCGGUAGUAGUGCGACGCGAGUAGUGAACGUAACGUAAGUAAGUUAGACGGUCGUUGAGACGNGCCGACGGACGACGACGAGGGAGGAGG
rnacentral:rRNA from 1 species